CUCAGAGAGCCCUCUAUAGGGAUGUCAUGCAGGAGAACUAUGAGACAGUGACCUUGCUGGGGUUUCCAGUUUCCAAACCUGAUGUGAUCUCGCAGCUGGAAUGAGGGGAACAGCCGUGGGUCUCAGACCUCUAUAGUUCUGAAAAAAAGUGCUCCCGAGAGCUGUGUGCACAGGGAGUGACCUAUGUCUGGAUUCUCUCUGUCUCCCAUCAGGUGAUGAGAUGGUGAGUGAG